rnacentral:rRNA from 1 species
GACGAACGCUGGCGGCGUGCUUAACACAUGCAAGUCGAACGAUGAAGCCGGAGCUUGCUCCGGUGGAUUAGUGGCGAACGGGUGAGUAACACGUUAGCAAUCUGCCCUUGACUCUGGGAUAACUUCGGGAAACUGUAGCUAAUACCGGAUACGACACCUUGGGGCAUCCCAGGGUGUGGAAAGAAUUUCGGUCAAGGAUGAGCUCGCGGCCGAUCAGCUAGUUGGUGAGGUAAUGGCUCACCAAGGCGACGGCGGGUAGCCGGCCUGAGAGGGUGACCGGCAACACUGGAACUGAGACACGGUCCAGACUCCUACGGGAGGCAGCGGUGGGGAAUAUUGCACAAUGGGCGAAAGCCUGAUGCAGCAACGCCGCGUGAGGGAUGAAGGCCUUCGGGUUGUAAACCUCUUUUAGCAGGGAAGAAGCGAAAGUGACGGUACCUGCAGAAAAAGCACCGGCUAACUACGUGCCAGCCGCCGCCGUAA